AUACUUACCUAACAGGGGAGAUACCAUAAUCACAAAGAUAGUUUUCCCAGGGUGAGGCUUAUCCAUUGCAUGCCAGAUGUGCUGACCCCUGUGAUCUCUCCAAAUGUAGGAAACUCGAUUGCAUAAUUUAUGAUAGUGGGGGAUUGAGUUCGCACUCUCCCCUA